UACGGGGGGGGCAAGCGUUGUUCGGAAUUACUGGGCGUAAAGGGCUCGUAGGCGGCCAACUAAGUCAGACGUGAAAUCCCCAGGCUCAACCUGGGAACUGCGUCUGAUACUGGAUGGCUUGAAUUCGGAGAGGGAUGCAGAAUUCCAGGUGUAGCGGUGAAAUGCGUAGAUAUCUGGAGGAACACCGGUGGCGAAGGCGGCAUCCUGGACCAAUUCUGACACUGAGGAGCGAAAGCCAGGGAGCAAACGGG
rnacentral:rRNA from 1 species